rnacentral:rRNA from 1 species
AUUGAACGCUGGCGGAAUGCUUUACACAUGCAAGUCGAACGGCAGCACGGACUUCGGUCUGGUGGCGAGUGGCGAACGGGUGAGUAAUACAUCGGAACGUGCCCAGUCGUGGGGGAUAACGUAGCGAAAGCUACGCUAAUACCGCAUACGAUCUACGGAUGAAAGCGGGGGAUCGCAAGACCUCGCGCGAUUGGAGCGGCCGAUGGCAGAUUAGGUAGUCGGUGGGGUAAAGGCUCACCAAGCCGACGAUCUGUAGCUGGUCUGAGAGGACGACCAGCCACACUGGGACUGAGACACGGCCAAGAGGCCGACGGGAGGCAGCAGUGGGGAAUUGUGGACAAUGGGCGCAAGCCUGAUCCAGCCAUUCCGCGUGCAGGAUGAAGGCCCUCGGGUUGUAAACUGCUUUUGUACGGAACGAAAAGGCUCUGGUUAAUACCCGGGGCUCAUGACGGUACCGUAAGAAUAAGCACCGGCUAACUACGUGCCAGCCGCCGCGGUAA